CAAGUACCUACUUCUUUAAUUCAAAAAUCGAAAAAAAAAAAAACUUUUAUGCAUACUCCGCAUGCUGUGGCUCAAGCUUAAAGAUAUUUAGAUCAGCAAUAGCAAGAUUUUCCUGAAGAAAGAGAGGAUUUUAAUGUAGUGCAAAGCCAAGAUGGCUCAUGUGUUUUUCCACAGAAAAGAAAAAAGUUGUUUUGCCAGAGACACCUGCAUUAAUUUCCCUUAUAAGAAAAGUUACUAAAAAGGAUUCCUCAUCGAAUGGAAAGUCUCCCAUUACUGAGUAAGGGAUUAUGAUAACAGUUUAAACGGGUAAUGUCUGAAUAGGUUAACAAAGUUUCAAAAAUAAGAGG
rnacentral:lncRNA from 1 species